rnacentral:rRNA from 1 species
UGAAACCGUUUAGGGGUAAACCUGAGAAACCCGAAAGGUCGAAGGGAGAAAUUCAUUCGCGUUUCGAGACAGGCACCGGACGGAAUCGAGCGACGGGAAACGCGCGUUUUCGCGCGCGUUUUUCGCGCCGUCCGUCCGACGAUCCGGUCGCGAACGCGUGCACUUUUCUCCUGGUAGGACGUCGCGAUCCGUCGAGUGUCGGUCUACGGUUUCGGGAGGAGCCCGUCGGCGGUUCGUCUUCGCGGACGUUCGCGACCGACGGACCUCGAAUACCCGGCCGACUCGCUCGACGGUAUAAUUACGAACGGUUCAGGGUCGCUCUCUACGUUGAGCGUUCGAUUCGCGGCAAGCGCGUCAGACGUGAAAGUCGGCGAUCGGACUUCGUGCCGGUUCCGACCUCUGACGACUGUUGGCCGCGAAAUUCUCGAACGGACCCGCCCACAAAACCGAUCGGCGACGCUAUAGCUUUGGGUAAUUUCAGGACCCGUCUUGAAACACGGACCAAGGAGUCUAGCAUGUGCGCGAGUCAUUGGGAAUCGUUAAACCUAAAGGCGCAAUGAAAGUAAAGGUUUUCCUCGCGAAGACCUAGGGAAGACGAGCGCGAUCGCCCUUAAAAGCGUCCGCUCCGCAUUCCCGGGGCGUCUCGUUCUCAUCGCGAGAAGAGGCGCACCAAGAGCGUACACGCUGGGACCCGAAAGAUGGUGAACUAUGCCUGGUCAGGACGAA